AGGAAGGUUAGCAAUAGCAUUAACGAUUCGUUGACCGGAUAACUGGUGUGAAUUCUGUCAAUUAGUACGAUAUUAGUAAAGUAUUGUUUUAAAUUUACAUAUGUGACACUAAAAAAUGUCUUACGAGCACGCAUCAAAAACGUCACCAAGCUCGUCAAGAUUUGGAAGAGAAAAUGAACAAAGUCAACCAAAUUCAUCGAUGUCAUCCUCACAAAAUCAAGGACAAUUUGGUGGUAGAGGCAAUGGUCAUCCUUCAUGGUUAAGAGGAAAAGAAAUAGGUUUGUACUAUAGAGAUCUUCAAAGAAACAGAGCUAAGAAAAGGGAAUUACGUAUUAUUAAAUUAAAGCAAAGAGUAGAACAAACAAUGAAACUAGCAGUUGAAAACUCUAAAGGACUGUAUAAUAAAUUAUGCGACGACGAAGAGAAAAGGAAUAGUACAAGCAAUGAUCUAGAAAACAAAUAUACUCACAUUCAUGACUCGCAGUUUAAGAGAAAGUUUUUAGAAAUUUUAUCUGGUAAUAUACAACACAAUAUUACCAAAGCUAUGUCAGUUAAAUCUAAACUUGAAAGGGAUCCUGUUUCCGAUAAAAAUCUAUUGGACGAAUACAAUGGGAAAUUGUAUAACAGCGAUUACAAAGCUAUGCAAGCUUUCCGAAAGAAGUUACCUGCUUAUGAAAAAAAAGCGGAUAUUAUAGAUUUAAUAAAAAAAAAUCAAGUUAUGGUGAUCAGUGGUGAAACAGGCUGCGGUAAGACGACGCAAGUUGCACAGUUUAUUCUAGAUAACGAAUUAGAACAGAGAAAUGGUAGUAUUACUAGAAUAAUUUGUACACAGCCAAGGAGGAUAUCGGCAAUAUCCGUUGCUGAAAGAGUAGCUGCCGAAAGAGGAGAAAGACUCGGCAAAUCAGUGGGCUUUCAAAUAAGAUUAGAAAAGAUAUCGCCUAGAGAGCGUGGAAGUAUAUUAUUUUGUACUACUGGUAUGCUCUUGCAAUUUAUGCAAUCCGAUCCAGCGCUAAAAGGAUUUUCGCAUAUAAUAUUAGACGAAAUUCACGAACGUAGUACAGAAAGUGACUUUAUUAUCACUUUAUUGAAGCAAAUAAUUCCUGUGAGACCAGAUUUGAAAGUGGUUUUGAUGAGCGCUACGCUUAAUUCCGAAAGAUUUUCCAGUUAUUAUAACGAUUGUCCAAUAAUUCACAUACCAGGAUUCACAUAUCCUGUAGAAGAGUUUUAUUUAGAAGAUGUAUUAUUAUUAACAGGUUUUCGUUUAGUCGAUAGUUCGUUUAAAGAAAAAGAACCUGGUUAUAGAAAACAUCAAAAAAAAUACAAGCAACAGCACGAAAAAACUUGUCACUUCUUAAAUAUUAUAAAUCCAUAUAUAAAGCAACUUACCUUAGAAAAAGAAUAUCCUAAGUUUGUUAUAGACCAAUUAUGUAAUCCGGAUAGUGAAAAUUUAUCUUUAGAACUUAUAGAAGAAUUGAUCCAUCAUAUAUGUACGACGAAAGAACCUGGAGCUAUUUUAGUAUUUUUACCUGGAAUGAUGGAUAUCGUUAAGUUAAACAGAAUUAUGUUGAACUCCGAACGAUAUCCAAAUAGUAGAUAUAUCAUUUAUCCACUUCAUUCUCGUAUGCCAACGAUCGAUCAAAGGCUGAUAUUUAAGGAACCGCCUACUGGCAUACGUAAAAUAAUAAUCGCAACGUCCAUCGCUGAAACAUCUAUAACGAUAGAAGAUGUAGUGUAUGUAAUCGACUGUGGAAAAACAAAGCUUUCCAAAUUCGAUGUGAAUAAAAAUAUGGAAACGUUAGAACCCGAAUGGGUAUCUAUGGCUAAUGCUAAACAAAGACGAGGUCGUGCAGGAAGAGUGAAAAAAGGAUAUUGUUAUCACCUCUACACUAAGGCAAGAGAAAUGACGUUCGAUGAUUACCCACUACCUGAAAUGUUACGUACGCGGUUGGAGGAAGUGAUAUUACAGAUAAAAAUUUUACAAUUAGGAGAAGCGAAACAGUUUCUUGCUAGCGUUAUGGAUCCACCUAAUUUAAAAGCUAUCGAUUUAUCGCUUGAUUUAUUGAGGACAUUAAAUGCUUUAGACAACGACGAACAUUUGACACCUCUAGGAUAUCAUUUGGCGCAACUUCCUCUUGAUCCUAGGACUGGUAAAAUGAUUAUAUGGGCCGCACUAUUUUCUUGCAUAGAUCCAGUAUUUGCAAUAGCAGCCAGUCUCACGUUUAAGGAUGCUUUUUAUUGUCCUUUGGGAAAAGAAGAACAAGCAAUGAAAAAAAAGUUAGAACUCAGUAUGUGGCAAUUUAGCGAUCACAUUGCUCUCGCGGAAGCUCUCAGGAGAUUCGAGAUCAAUUAUAGCUUUGGUUUUUGUCACGAAUAUUUUUUGUCCUUCAACACUUUGAAACUUCUUUCCGAAAUGAAACGUCAAUUUACUCAACACUUGUACGAGAUGAAGUUUUUAGAUAAUGAUAAUCCAAUCGACGAGGAUGCUAAUAGAAAUUCUAAUAACAUAGCAUUGAUCAAAGCUAUAGUUUGUGCAGGAUUAUAUCCAAACAUUGCUACUAUAAAGCACGGAUCUGAUUCGAAGCAUGGUGUAAUAGCUUGGACACCCGAAGAUGGUUCCGUGAAACUACAUCCAUCCAGUGUUAAUAAUAAAAUGAGGAAUUUUCCAAGUCCUUUCUUAACUUAUUUUACAAAGCAACGAUCCACUGCUAUUUAUUUGCACGACACAUCUUGUGUCACAGCUCCAAUAUUAUUAUUUGCUGGAUCAAAUAGUUCAAUUAAAAGAGAAAAUGGGAAGUAUAUAAUCACAUUAAAUACUUCGCAAAACUUCGUUUGCGAACCUAGAACAGCCAAAGUUAUACAGGACCUUCGACAAGCAAUAAAUAAUUUAUUAGAAUAUAAAAUUUCGCAUCCUGGUACAGUAAAUUGGAAUACUCAAGAAGGACAAAUACUUAACGCUCUUAUAGAAUUUGUAUCCCAAACGGACGAAGAAAUGGGAUUUGGUAAAUUGACACGGUAAGGUAGACGAAUAUACAAUCUUGAUCAAUGUAAAAAUAUCUGAAUUGAAAUCUUUAUUCAAAGGGACAAAUUAUACAUCAUGUAUUACUGAUAGAUAAUUAUGUUCUUCGUGAGAGAAAAAAAAAGAAACAAAAAAGAUAAUAUAUAAGAAGACGUAUAUUAGUCAGAAGUGAUCACACACUUGGAGCAGAGCUUACAUAAACCUUCAAUUAACGUGAUUGGUGGUCGUCGACUCGCGGGUAGAAAAGCCUGCGCGUCGUGAUGAAAACUCGAUAUCCUUGAUGAAGACAACAUUUAUAUAUAUAUAUAUACGUAUAUAUGUAUCUCGUGUGGUAUGCGUCAUUAUUUUAAUCGUUAUAACGACAAUAAUUAUACCUGAUACUUUAUCAUUUCUUUCUUUCUUUCUUCUCUUUUUCUUUUAGACCAGAAUACUCGAAGGCUUACGAUUGGUCCUCCACAGUUGAUCCAUCCUUCAUUUCCUUCGAUCCAUUUCAUUCCAAGGAGGUCGUUCCACACAAUUUCCAAGAGGAGGGGGCCCCAAAUACAACGCGUCAAAUGGGUUUCCAGUAUCUGAACAUCAUCUCGGCACUGAAGAUAAUUUGGAGACAUUCUCACGCGCGUCGGUAUCGUUGGAAAUGGAGAUUUAAGAAGAAGGAGCAACGAUCAAGGGAUAAGAAGGAAUCAAACUCGAUGAUUUCCGGCUAGACGUUCCCAUUCGAAGAGCAGGAGUGUCCAUUCGAAACACGUUAUUCGGAUCGUCGAUUUUCCCGUCAUAACGAGUGAAAGGCGUCGUUUAUCGGUGUCACUACUUCCGGGGGUAUACAAGAGGAGGGGUGACAAGAGAGGGUGAACCGAGUGUACGACGUGGAGAAGUGGAAGAGAGAGAGAGAGAGAGAGAGAGAGAGAGAGAGAGAGAGAGAGAGAGAGAGAGAGAGAGAGAGAGAGGCGUGCAGUAAUGCGUCGAAUGACGGGGCAGUCUCAUAGGACAAUCGUCCAGGACUCGGAGAAGUGGGGUGGACUAGGGUGCGAGGGGGUUGGAAGGGUGUCGAAAUGCAAUUCAUCACAACAGAGACAGAGAGCUCUCCCACUAGUACCACCCUCUCUGUCCUCUCGCACGCACCCAACGCAUCAAUCUUCUUCUCCAACAAUGUUCGCGUAAAUUACCCUCAUCGAUAUCAAAGUGACGAGGGUAGUGCUGGUGGUAGUGCUUCGAGAAGACCAGCCCUUAUCCAACGCGAGUUUGAAAAUUGAGUUUACAAAGAGAGAGAGAGAGAGAGAGAGAGAGAGAGAGAGAGAGAAGCAAAGAAAGAAAGAGUAUUUUCGUCCAAUGCAAGCUUUUUUCUACUUCUUCUUCGAGACGUAGCUAGCGACGGAGAAGUUCAAUGGAGUACAUUAGAGUAGAUCAAAUUUCUUCAGAUGGAAAUUAUUCAGGUAUACGUAUGAUGUUCUUUCUUUCUUUUUUCUUUUUUUUUUUUUUUAUGUAAUUUAUGUACAGAGAAAUCAUAGAGAAAUUUGUUUUCUUUUAUUACUAAACACGUGUCAUUAUUGGAGAUUGAAGCUUGGAUAAUUAACGACACGGCCUGAUCGUUAACACCGAUCCAAUCACAGCGUCGACCACCGAGGAGUUAAUGAUCAAUCACCGUUGUGGCGUUGAUGAAAUUUCUAUCAUAAUACCAUCGGAAAUAUUGCUAUUUAAAGCUCCCUAGUGCUUGUUGAGUAAGACAAUCGACGAUUAAAUUCAAGUCGAUCGAGUCUACUAAUUUAUCAAAGAAUUAUUUCAUUGUGCGUU